AUUGAACGCUGGCGGCAGGCUUAACACAUGCAAGUCGAGCGGGGGAAGGUAGCUUGCUACCGGACCUAGCGGCGGACGGGUGAGUAAUGCUUAGGAAUCUGCCUAUUAGUGGGGGACAACAUCUCGAAAGGGAUGCUAAUACCGCAUACGUCCUACGGGAGAAAGCAGGGGAUCUUCGGACCUUGCGCUAAUAGAUGAGCCUAAGUCGGGUUAGCUAGUUGGUGGGGGAAAGGCCUACCAAGGCGACGAUCUGUAGCGGGUCUGAGAGGAUGAUCCGCCACACUGGGACUGAGACACGGCCCAGACUCCUACGGGAGGCAGCAGUGGGGAAUAUUGGACAAUGGGGGGAACCCUGAUCCAGCCAUGCCGCGUGUGUGAAGAAGGCCUUAUGGUUGUAAAGCACUUUAAGCGAGGAGGAGGCUACUUUAGUUAAUACCUAGAGAUAGUGGACGUUACUCGCAGAAUAAGCACCGGCUAACUCUGUGCCAGCCGCCGCAGUAA
rnacentral:rRNA from 1 species